rnacentral:rRNA from 1 species
AGGCAGCAGUGGGGAAUUUUGGACAAUGGGGGAAACCCUGAUCCAGCCAUACCGCGUGAGUGAAGAAGGCCUUCGGGUUGUAAAGCUCUUUCAGCCGGAAAGAAAACGCACGGGUUAAUACCUUGUGUGGAUGACGGUACCGGAAGAAGAAGCACCGGCUAACUACGUGCCAGCAGCCGCGGUAAUACGUAGGGUGCGAGCGUUAAUCGGAAUUACUGGGCGUAAAGCGUGCGCAGGCGGCUUUUUAAGCCAGAUGUGAAAUCCCCGGGCUUAACCUGGGAACUGCAUUUGGAACUGGAAGGCUAGAGUGUAGCAGAGGGGGGUAGAAUUCCACGUGUAGCAGUGAAAUGCGUAGAUAUGUGGAGGAAUACCGAUGGCGAAGGCAGCCCCCUGGGCUAACACUGACGCUCAUGCACGAAAGCGUGGGGAGCAAACAGGAUUAGAUACCCUGGUAGUCCACGCCCUAAACGAUGUCAACUAGGUGUUGGGGAUAGGAGACCUCUUCUAGUACC